GUCCCUUUCGGCAGUUCCUGUUAUGUGAUUUGUGUCAGUGGCCCACCCUUUUACCCCAUCCAUAGACUUUCUGCUUUACUGGACACUGCUGUUAGGGGGUAUGGAUUUACUUGAAAGAUGAAAGCAUAAAUUAGAGAGAGAUUAGCAUAGGGUAUGUAUUUUCUCAUAGCUGCAUCCUAUGAGUUUCCCUCCAGCACCAUCUCCAUCAGAUACAUGACGCUUAGGAGGUAGGACUGUUUUAGUGUUUUUGAUCAAUAAGAUUUUGUAAUUAGGCCCAUCUGGGCUCUUAAUCUGGACCUACCGAUAGGCUACCAAGGGAUUUCAG